GCAAGUCGAGCGAAUGGAUUAAGAGCUUGCUCUUAUGAAGUUAGCGGCGGACGGGUGAGUAACACGUGGGUAACCUGCCCAUAAGACUGGGAUAACUCCGGGAAACCGGGGCUAAUACCGGAUAACAUUUUGAACCGCAUGGUUCGAAAUUGAAAGGCGGCUUCGGCUGUCACUUAUGGAUGGACCCGCGUCGCAUUAGCUAGUUGGUGAGGUAACGGCUCACCAAGGCAACGAUGCGUAGCCGACCUGAGAGGGUGAUCGGCCACACUGGGACUGAGACACGGCCCAGACUCCUACGGGAGGCAGCAGUAGGGAAUCUUCCGCAAUGGACGAAAGUCUGACGGAGCAACGCCGCGUGAGUGAUGAAGGCUUUCGGGUCGUAAAACUCUGUUGUUAGGGAAGAACAAGUGCUAGUUGAAUAAGCUGGCACCUUGACGGUACCUAACCAGAAAGCCACGGCUAACUACGUGCCAGCAGCCGCGGUAAUACGUAGGUGGCAAGCGUUAUCCGGAAUUAUUGGGCGUAAAGCGCGCGCAGGUGGUUUCUUAAGUCUGAUGUGAAAGCCCACGGCUCAACCGUGGAGGGUCAUUGGAAACUGGGAGACUUGAGUGCAGAAGAGGAAAGUGGAAUUCCAUGUGUAGCGGUGAAAUGC
rnacentral:rRNA from 1 species